rfam:Aedes albopictus isolate Foshan contig26199, whole genome shotgun sequence.
UGUUCUGUGGCUUAGUUGGUUAAAGCGCCGGUGUGGCGAAUACGGAGUCGUGGGUUCAAAUCCCACCAGAACGC